AUCUCAGUCCACAUGGGGCAGGCUGGUGUGCAGAUUGGCCACACCUGCUGGGAGCUCUACUGCCUGGAGCAUGGGAUUCAGCCUGAUGGGCAGAUGCCCAGUGACAAGAUCAUCAGGGGAGGGAAUGAGGCUUUCUACACCUUUUUUAGUGAAACUGGGGCUGGGAAACAGGUGCCCCAGGCAGUGUUUGUGGAUCUAGACCCCACCAUGAUUAUUGAGUUUCAAACAGGCACAUACUGCCGGCUCUUCCAUCCAGAGCAGCUCAUCACAGGCAAGGAAGAUGCUGCCAAUAACAAUACCCAGGGUCACUACACCAUUGGGAAGGAACUCAUUGACCUGGUACUGGACUGGAUUUGGAAGCCAGGGGACAACUGUACUCCCCUUCAGGGCUUCCUGGUGUUCCACAGCUUUGGCGGGGGCACUGGCUCUGGCUUCACCUCACUCCUGAUGGAGCGGCUCUCUGUUGACUAUGGCAAGAAAUCCAAGCUGGAAUUCUCCAUCUACCCAGCAUCCCAGGUGUCUAUAGCUGUGGUCGAGCCCUAUAACUCUUAUCCUGACCACCCACACCACCCUGGAACACUCAGACUGUGCCUUCAUGGUGGACAACGAAGCUAUCUAUGACAUCUGCCGCCGCAACCUAGACAUCGAGCGCCCAACCUACACCAACCUCAAUCGCCUCAUCAGCCAAAUCGUCUCCUCCAUCACAGCUUCCCUGCGCUUUGACGGGGCCCUCAAUGUGGACCUGACAGAGUUCCAGACCAACCUGGUGCCCUACCCUCGCAUCCACUUCCCCCUGGCCACCUAUGCACCAGUCAUCUCUGCAGAAAAGGCAUACCAUGAGCAGCUGUCGGUGGCCGAGAUCACCAAUGCCUGCUUUGAGCCUGCCAACCAGAUGGUCAAGUGUGAUCCCCGGCACGGCAAGUACAUGGCCUGCUGCCUGCUGUACCGUGGAGAUGUGGUGCCCAAAGAUGUCAACGCUGUCAUUGCCGCCAUCAAGACCAAGCGCAGCAUUCAGUUUGUGGACUGGUGCCCCACAGGCUUCAAGGUUGGUAUCAACUACCAGCCUCCCACUGUGGUGCCUGGGGGUGACCUGGCCAAGGUGCAGUGUGCUGUGUGCAUGCUGAGCAACACGACCACCAUCGCCGAGGCCUGGACUCGCUUGGACCACAAAUUCGACCUGAUGUGUGCCAAGAGGGCGUUUGUGUACUGGUAUGUGGGUGAGGGCAUGGAGGAGGGCGAGUUCUCCGAGGCCCGUGAGGAUAUGGCUGCCCUGGAGAAGGAUUACGAGGAGAUGGGCAUGCAUAGCAUGAAGUUGGGGGAAGAAGGGAAAAGGGAGCCUAAUACUAGGUGGUUCCGGGCAUCUCUUCAGAUGCCACCUCUUCUGGGCCUGCCAGUUCCCCAGUGCCCAGACAGUGACUCAGCCCCUGCAGGCCCCCCCUCCGGGGAACAGGCCGAGCUGGCCUUCUCCCGGUCUCUAGUAGUUUCCGCGCCGCUGACGCAUGCCUGCGCGCACAGCUGGGCCGGCGCGUCCUACGCAGCAGCCGCGAGCCGGGCUGCGGUGCCAGACGGUUCCCGGCGGGGGGCAGGGGCGGGGCGCCGCAGGAGGCCGGGACUCCCGGCGGAGGAGGUGCGGCUGGGGGCCCGGAUCAGGCUGGGGGCCCUGGGCCGGACUGCUGGAGUUGGGGAGCCCCGAUGGGGCUCCCGGGCCUGGGCACCGAGAUAG